rnacentral:tRNA from 3 species
GGAUCCGUAGUGUAGCUGGUUAACACGUCGCCCUGUCAAGGCGAAGAUCACCGGUUCAAGUCCGGCCGGAUCCGCCC